GAUGAACGCUGGCGGCGUGCCUAAUACAUGCAAGUCGAGCGAACAGACGAGGAGCUUGCUCCUUUGAUGUUAGCGGCGGACGGGUGAGUAACACGUGGAUAACCUACCUAUAAGACUGGGAUAACUUCGGGAAACCGUAGCUAAUACCGGAUAACAUGUUGAACCGCAUGGUUCAACAGUGAAAGACGGUCUUGCUGUCACUUAUAGAUGGAUCCGCGCCGCAUUAGCUAGUUGGUAAGGUAACGGCUUACCAAGGCAACGAUGCGUAGCCGACCUGAGAGGGUGAUCGGCCACACUGGAACUGAGACACGGUCCAGACUCCUACGGGAGGCAGCAGUAGGGAAUCUUCCGCAAUGGGCGAAAGCCUGACGGAGCAACGCCGCGUGAGUGAAGAAGGUCUUCGGAUCGUAAAACUCUGUUAUUAGGGAAGAACAAAUGUGUAAGUAACUAUGCACGUCUUGACGGUACCUAAUCAGAAAGCCACGGCUAACUACGUG
rnacentral:rRNA from 1 species